rnacentral:rRNA from 13 species
CCUGAUGGGUAGUUUGACUGGGGCGGUCGCCUCCUAAAGGGUAACGGAGGCGCCCAAAGGUUCCCUCAUCCUGGUUGGUAAUCAGGUGUCGAGUGUAAGUGCACAAGGGAGCUUGACUGUGAGACUGACAGCUCGAGCAGGGACGAAAGUCGGGACUAGUGAUCCGGCGGUACAUUGUGGAAUGGCCGUCGCUCAACGGAUAAAAGGUACCUCGGGGAUAACAGGCUGAUCUUGCCCAAGAGUCCAUAUCGACGGCAUGGUUUGGCACCUCGAUGUCGGCUCGUCGCAUCCUGGGGCUGGAGUCGGUCCCAAGGGUUGGGCUGUUCGCCCAUUAAAGCGG